rnacentral:rRNA from 1 species
AGCGAACGCUGGCGGCAGGCCUAACACAUGCAAGUCGAACGAAGUCUUCGGACUUAGUGGCGGACGGGUGAGUAACACGUGGGAACGUGCCUUUAGGUUCGGAAUAACUCAGGGAAACUUGUGCAAAUACCGAAUGUGCCCUUCGGGGGAAAGAUUUAUCGCCUUUAGAGCGGCCCGCGUCUGAUUAGCUAGUUGGUGAGGUAAAGGCUCACCAAGGCGACGAUCAGUAGCUGGUCUGAGAGGAUGACCAGCCACAUUGGGACUGAGACACGGCCCAAACUCCUACGGGAGGCAGCAGUGGGGAAUCUUGCGCAAUGGGCGAAAGCCUGACGCAGCCAUGCCGCGUGAAUGAUGAAGGUCUUAGGAUUGUAAAAUUCUUUCACCGGGGACGAUAAUGACGGUACCCGGAGAAGAAGCCCCGGCUAACUUCGUGCCAGCAGCCGCCGUAAUAC